rnacentral:sRNA from 1 species
UGCUAUCUGUACGCCAGAAAGAUUCGAACCUGCCGCAGGUUCGGGUCGAGCCAUUCAUGGCGAGACACCGGAGCCGCGCGCGGCGACGGCCCGAAGGGCGAGCGAAGCGAGUCAUCCUGCACGACCCACCA